rnacentral:rRNA from 1 species
UACGUAGGGUGCAAGCGUUGUCCGGAAUUAUUGGGCGUAAAGAGCUCGUAGGCGGUUUGUCGCGUCGAAUGUGAAAACCCGGGGCUCAACCCCGGGCCUGCAUUCGAUACGGGCAGACUAGAGUUCGGUAGUGGAGUCUGGAAUUCCUGGUGUAGCGGUGAAAUGCGCAGAUAUCAGGAGGAACACCGGUGGCGAAGGCGGGACUCUGGGCCGAUACUGACGCUGAGGAGCGAAAGCGUGGGGAGCAAACAGG